rnacentral:rRNA from 1 species
GGGUUGUGAGGUUAAGCGACUAAGCGUACACGGUGGAUGCCCUGGCAGUCAGAGGCGAUGAAGGACGUGCUAAUCUGCGAUAAGCGUCGGUAAGGUGAUAUGAACCGUUAUAACCGGCGAUUUCCGAAUGGGGAAACCCAGUGUGUUUCGACACACUAUUAUUAACUGAAUCCAUAGGUUAAUGAGGCGAACCGGGGGAACUGAAACAUCUAAGUACCCCGAGGAAAAGAAAUCAACCGAGAUUCCCCCAGUAGCGGCGAGCGAACGGGGAGGAGCCCAGAGCCUGAAUCAGUGUGUGUGUUAGUGGAAGCGUCUGGAAAGGCGCGCGAUACAGGGUGACAGCCCCGUACACAAAAAUGCACAUGCUGUGAGCUCGAUGAGUAGGGCGGGACACGUGGUA